rnacentral:rRNA from 1 species
AACGAACGCUGGCGGCAGGCCUAACGCAUGCAAGUCGAGCGCGCCCUUCGGGGUGAGCGGCGGACGGGUGAGUAACGCGUGGGAACGUACCCUUUGCUACGGAAUAGCCUCGGGAAACUGAGAGUAAUACCGUAUACGCCCUUUGGGGGAAAGAUUUAUCGGCAAAGGAUCGGCCCGCGUUGGAUUAGGUAGUUGGUGGGGUAAUGGCCCACCAAGCCGACGAUCCAUAGCUGGUUUGAGAGGAUGAUCAGCCACACUGGGACUGAGACACGGCCCAGACUCCUACGGGAGGCAGCAGUGGGGAAUCUUAGACAAUGGGGGCAACCCUGAUCUAGCCAUGCCGCGUGAGUGAUGAAGGCCUUAGGGUUGUAAAGCUCUUUCAGCUGGGAAGAUAAUGACGGUACCAGCAGAAGAAGCCCCGGCUAACUCCGUG